CAAGGGAGGAAGAGAUUUCCAUUGGGAGAGUCACACUGAAAAUAGAAAGCCUGCCUGCCCCUGAAAUACCGGGACCUAAGCCCCUCCUCCUCUGGCUGCCUUCAAUGAGCUCCUUUCACUGCAAUUAAAGCAACCAAGACAAAGGUUGGAGUGGGAUUUCCUGGAUAUUAAAUCCUAGUCUCAGUACACGAAGAAAUCACAACACCGUGGAGCUGCCGACCCUAAGCCCCGUGUCACUCAUUUCCUUUAUUAGUAGUUUGAAAAUUGCAUAUAGCAUGGUUUGAGUAUAUUCACCUUCUCUCUCCCAACUCUUCCUAGACUCACCCCCUUUUUUUUCCCCAUUCACUUCUGGGUACUUGCUUUUUAUUGUCAUGUGAUGUAGAAUUACAAAUUACUUAUUGGUGGCAAUACAGGAUAUACAACUAGGACAUUAUCUGUAAGA
rnacentral:lncRNA from 1 species